UAACGAUGACACCGAUAAGUUAACGUAACUUUUUUUUUUUGAUUUUCCGAAAUGAAUGUCAAUAUUUAAAGAAAAUAUGUUAGAAACUUGCAAUAUAUUUAAAAAAAAGAGGACGAGUAAUUGUUCUUAAAAAACCGCCGACGAACCUGUGACGUAACGGCGCGGGUUAUUUGGAUAGUUUGUGAUUCCGCGAUAGUGACUUGUCAAUUGUUAUUAGCAGCACAUUAGCUCGUUAUUUACAAUAAACCUGAAAAUGGGAACCACUGUAAUCGCCGACGCCAACAAGUUUAUGAAUGUUCUCUUGAAUUGUCAAGACGAAUGCAAAAGCCCAGUGGAAUAUGAGGGGGAUAUUCAAAUCCAGCUAGUGAAAAUGGGAGUUGACAUUCCCCUUAUGAACAUGGGCAGUGACAACCAGCCGGCAUUCAUCUGCGAGAAAUACAUUCCCAAACUUCCUGCAGAAGGGCAAAAUGAGGAUUCUCUUUCCGAUGAAUCAGUGGAUCUUAUGCAGGAAGAUCCAGGGCCUCUGGGUGUGAGCGUAAUGAGAGCAAGACAGCUGCUCUCCUGGUACACUGUGUGUCAGAACCCCAGCAUGUCUAAGGGGAGCCCCGCCCUGUGGGUGCGCUGUGACAUGGCCGACAGCGAGGGCACGGCCUGGCUGGGGGCGGAGACCUUCCGCACCGGCGACAAGGCCACCGCCGUCAAGCUCCAUACCGUCAACUGCAAAGCUCCAACUGUGGGAAAGGUCCCGUCUAUCACCCUGGAGGAACUGAAACAAAUGCACAAGAGGCGUCACCAUUCCUCUUCCGUGGUGACUCGCGGUGCGGCUCUGUAUAACCUCUUUGGCUCCACGGUGGUGGAGAACACGGUCAUCGAGUCCCAGAGCAGCGUGACUGUGGACUUUAGGUGGGACAAUGUGGAGAGCCUGCUGCAGACUCCCCCUCUCUCCUCCACUGCCACGCUGAACAUCAAGGUGGCUAAUGGAGACAUGAGGAGUCCCAUGUAUUCACUGUUCAAGGAGUUGGAGUUCAUCCAGAUUUUGGCAGAGGGUUUGAGGACGGGUGAGACCGAAUGGCUCGAGCCGUUGGAGACGAGGUCAGCAGUGGAACUCACCAAGGAGCUGAUCCAGGAUCUGCAGAAUAAAAUGAUGGUGGAACCGAAUCAGUCGGUGAAGGAGAGCGGGACUCCGAAGGGGGCGAGCGAGCCCUCCUCAUUGGCGGAGACAUCCAUGUAUAGCACCAUGCUCACCGAAAGAGGCGACCUGGACUUCACAGAGCAGCUGUGGCUGACGAUGAGGAGGAGCGUGACUUCGCAUCAGGAUAUCGUGGACUGCCUGAAGAUGGUGGUGAAGGCCUUGAAAUAUGGGGAUAUUAAACCGUGGGUCCACAGAGACAGCAGCAGCUCUCUCAGUAAGCUCAUCUUGCAGUCCUACCAGCAGCAGAUGGACUCGGUGAGUCUGACCGGGCUCACCCCAGUGCACAUGCUCCUGGGCAUUGGCCUGGACAAGAUGAAGAAGGACUACAUCAACUACCUCAUUGGUCAGGAGCUCACCACUCUCAACCACCUGGGUUACUAUCUCAGCACGGAGGUGGAUCUGCAGGAGCAGGUCGUGCGGGUGAAGAAACUGCACCACCUGCUGGAGAUAGUGGUGACCUGCAGCACGUUCCUCAGCCUGGCCUACGAGCAGCUGUUCCUGCUGACACAGUCGUGCCUGCAGUACUACCGCACGUGUCGAUACGACGAGGACCACGAGUUCCAGCUGCAGAUCCGGCCCGCUGUUAUCAGCAGCUUUUAUCAGAAAGGACACCCCGUCACCUGGGCAGUGGAAAUAUCGAGUGGUCAAGGCAAGAGGGAGGUGAAGACGCUCUGCCAGCUGAGGGACAAACCGCCUGUGGAUCAUGUGAUGUUUGAUAUUGCAGAUUUGGAAACAACGGUGAAUGGGGAGAAUGAGGAGCCAGCGUACUACACCACCACCGUGAGCUGCAGCCUGGUCAACUUCAGCUGAACUCACAGGAAGCGGAUGGGAAGAAACUCCAGUGUGAAAAUAUUACAAUUACAAAAGAUGCACCAUACACAUGGAAAGAUGCCUAUACUGCAUUUAUAUCCUCUUUUCCUGUAUUUCUAACCCUUCAUAGGGGGGAAAAAAAUACACUCACAAUGCAUACCAGAAUAACGACCUUGUGCAUUCGGACAUUUGUUGGGAAGUGAGUUCAGGAACCGAACCACACCACGCCUUCUAGGGACAAUACUAGGACUCAGACUCCCCCCCCCCCCCCCCCCCUCCUCCUCUAGACACAGGCCCUGCCGUUUUCUCCCAGACGCGUAUGCGCUCUGAUAAUCCUGUGUAUGUGGGCCGGGGGGUUUUAAGAAGAAUGGACUGCAUUGAGGAGCACCCGCGGUGUACAAGUCACGGGUUUCUUGCCUUCAUUGUGUGGCACAGGGUUGGUCCCAGCCAGUGCCGGGGGGGCUUGGAGUAAGAGGCUUAAAUUUAUACAUUUUAAAGGGAAGGUUGAGAAUUAAGAGCGCAUGACCCGUUUCAGCACUGCAGAAGAAAAAGUGCCACGCCACCCCCCUCUCCCCAGUCUGUGGUACCCAUACCUUAAUAUGGGAGCUAUAGCAUGUAUAUGUACAUUCACCUUUACAAUCUGCAUUUUUUAAUAAACACAACCUCCUUUA